rnacentral:rRNA from 1 species
GACGAACGCUGGCGGCGUGCUUAACACAUGCAAGUCGAACGAAGAGCGAUGGAAGCUUGCUUCUAUCAAUCUUAGUGGCGAACGGGUGAGUAACGCGUAAUCAACCUGCCCUUCAGAGGGGGACAACAGUUGGAAACGACUGCUAAUACCGCAUACGAUCUGACCUCGGCAUCGAGGAUAGAUGAAAGGUGGCCUCUAUUUAUAAGCUAUCACUGAAGGAGGGGAUUGCGUCUGAUUAGCUAGUUGGAGGGGUAACGGCCCACCAAGGCGAUGAUCAGUAGCCGGUCUGAGAGGAUGAACGGCCACAUUGGGACUGAGACACGGCCCAGACUCCUACGGGAGGCAGCAGUGGGGAAUCUUCCGCAAUGGACGAAAGUCUGACGGAGCAACGCCGCGUGAGUGAUGACGGCCUUCGGGUUGUAAAGCUCUGUUAAUCGGGACGAAAGGCCUUCUUGCGAAUAUUUAGAAG